AUAAAUAUAUAUUUAAAAUUAUGGUAAAUACACUGUGUACCUAUAAUCAUGGACAGUUUAUACUUUUUAAUAAACUUCCUUGUCCCCAGUCUAAUGAAUUCUGAUACAACUGAUACUUGGUUUUAAUUGCUAUCCCAAACACUUGACAGAAUACCUGACAAAAUUUCCAUAUAUAAAUGCCAAAGAUGCUAUCACUGAUAGUAAUACCUGGGGAUAUCUUUAUACUAGUAAGUACAUGGCUACCUAAUUCUUAUAAGAACAGACAAAGCAUUGGGGGAUAAUAUGUAGAUAUAACUGAUUUACUAUGAAGCCAAAACUGAGCUCAGCAUCCAUAACUAGAAUUAUAAGCAAAGAAAGGGUUAAAAACACAUUAGGUGAAUCACAGAUAUUUCUCUUUAUGGCCAGCAACCAUUACUUUCCAAAGCAAUCUUUUUACAGAUGACUUCGUUUCCGUAAAUCACACUUUCAAUUUUCAAACAUCUUAAGGAAAAAAAACCAUGCACAAGCACUUCAGAGGACUCUGAAAAAUCUGAACCUGCCGAAUUCUGUGUAAAUUACACAAAGAACCCUACGGGUCCUGAAAGCAGAAGGAGAUGCACACACAAACCCAGGGAAAACAGCAAAUCCUUAUCUCCCUGCUCAGAUACAGACACUGGUCAGAAAGGUGAGUUGCUUUCUCAAAAUGCUAAAGCUGUGAAGAGAAAUCAAAAUAGUCCUACCCUGCUGGAUCAAGAGCGCCUUUCCAGAAAUGUUCCAUGGGCUUGUAGAAGUCAAGGGCUGAGACAGUGAGAAGGAAGGGAAGAAUGUGCUCCCGUGUGCCUGUGGCUCCGGGUGUGAGCAAGGCAGAGCGUGUGGGGAUGUGUUUGCAUGUGGGAUGGCAGGGAAUCGGGAAGCAACCAGUAGGCAGGGCACUUGGCAGCCCCUCCCGGCAGACACAGCAGCUGGGCUGCCGCACAGAGCUGGAUGAAUGGCAGUGGAGAGUGAGGAGAGGCUUGCUGUCUGCUCACAGGGAGCGGGGUGGCACACUCAAGUCAGCGUUAUUGGAUGGAACCAGCACUCCCAAGCCUUUCUGCUCCUUCUCCCUGGAGCCUAGAAAGUGUGCCAUGUUUUCUGCUGCCGUCCGAGGCAAGAGGGAAAGCAGGCUUGCUGGAAAUCAUAGGCUUAUGGCUAAAAUAGAAUGCCAGUCAAAAGUGCGUGGAUAUCAAGUUUACAAAAUGUGA
rnacentral:lncRNA from 1 species